rnacentral:lncRNA from 1 species
CUCUAGGAAGAGCUAGUAGGAAUGUACAUGAAGAAAUUAAGUCUGAAACUGGCUUCCUCACUCCCCUGUUUCUCCUUUUCCUAUCCUUAUAGGCCUGUCCCUUGCCUCUGCCCUGGAUUGGCUGGCACACUAAAGGACUUGAUGUACAUAACUCCUGUCCCUUUUACCCUUACAAGGUGCGGAUUGCCCCUGGCUUUGCCUCUUCUUUGUGCCUUUGGCCUGGGGUGCAUUUCCACCCACCCUUCCAUGUGCCUUUCUUUGCCUCUGCAGUCUCAUUUCUCAUAAUUUUGCAAAUUACAUUUUGUUGCUUUCUUACCUACUAUUGGCCCUAAAUAGCAGAAAGAAGAGAAGUGACCUAGAGAACCUCAGAUUCUUCAUUGAGGAUUGGUAUAGCCAUGAUUUCAGCCAUAGCAAGUUUUGCUCAACAGCAUAUGCGUGGGAUUUUGCAAAACUCCUAUUCUGAUGAAUCACAAAGUAAGGUUGGUAAGAGAAGUGAGUGGUGUGACUCUUACUCCUUAGGUGCCCAGAACUUACCAUCAUCUCUGAAGGCGUUACAGGGAAGUGGUCUCUCCAAUCCUUCCCUCCCUCCAGUAUUGCCCCCUCUCACUUUAGCAUAUAUUAAUUAGCAGGUUGGGCUAGAGAAAUCAGCUGCUAUGCGGGUUGAUUAUUAUUAUUAUUUUUGAUCCUUUUCCUUAUUUGCCUUCUACUCCCCUUAAUCUAAUCUAAAAGCUCUGUUCCAUGUAACUGGAGUUCUUUAUCCCUCUCUUCCCCUUCCCUUAUAUAUUGAGGCUAUGGGGUAGGAGAAAAGUGCACAACCCACCACCCCCUUUACUGGUGCAUUAAAAUUUCUUAUUUACCCUUUUCUCCCUUCCCAUUUCUCCCCACUUUCAUCUACCUUUUCUGGCAAAAAGGAGCCUUGUGCUCUCUGUGACCCUAAGGGCACACUGCACAGGUGAAAUUGCCCCAUCCAGACCUGGCUCCACUCUUGAUUUCUCUUGCCCUCUUCUGCUCUUUUCCUGGUGCUCUUUUUUCUUUUUUUCUUUUUUUUUUUUUUUUGUCUUCCAGAACUGCUAUAUAUAUAUAUACACACAUAUAUAUUUAAUUUUAUUAUUAUUAUACUUUAAGUUUUAGGGUACAUGUGCACAACGUGCAGGUUUGUUACAUACGUAUACAUGUGCCAUGUUGGUGUGCUGCACCCAUUAACUCGUCAUUUAGCAUUAGGUAUAUCUCCUAAUGCUAUCCCUGCCCCCUCCCUUCUCAGUGGGGUAUGGGUAAUAGGAUAGCCAUGGGCUUUUGGGGACCUUUAACUUUUUUUUCCUCUUUUGUUUAUAAAAACACUAAACAUUCAAUUCCAGAGAACCAAAAAUCCCACCUUCCCACCGAACACUGCUAACGGGCUUGUGUUCUGCUCCAUACUUUUUCUCUUUUCUUUCUGUCUUGUUAAUGCUUUUAAAAACAAAUGAGUUUUUAUAUAAAUAAAGUAUUUAAAGUGUGAAAAAAAAAGAAUGCAUGGGGUCAUCUACAUGUCUUUUUUAUUAGACUGUCUGGUGUUGGCCAGUAGUCCCUCCCAUAAGAAUGCCUGGGGUCGAACAAGUGUCUCUCCCAUGAAAAUGGCUGGGAUCACUCAGGCUUUUCUUUUAUUACAAUGCCUGGGGUCAGCCGGGAGUUUUUCCCGCUAGAAUGCUUGUCGCCCAAUUGUCUCUAGCAUUAGACUGCCUGAGUUUGGCAAAGUGUGUCUCUCAUAAUAAUGCCUGUGGUCGUCAAGGUGUCUCUAUCAUUAGACUGCCUGGGGACACUGGGGAGGUAUCUCCCAUUAGAAUGCCUAGGCUUGCCCAGGUGUCUUUAUAAUUAGACUGCCUGGGAUUGCACAGGAUUUUCUCCCAUUAGAAUGUCUGGGGUUGCCCAGGUGUCUCUAUCAUUAGACUGCUGGUGUUCGGACAGGAGCCGCUCUCAUUAAAAUGCCUGCAGUCGCCCAGGUUUCUCUAUCAUUAGACAGCCUGGAAACGGCCCAGAGUCUCUCCCAUUAGAAUGGUGUCUCUCCUGGGGUCAGCCAGGAACCUCUUCCAUUAGAAUUCUUGUGAUGGCCCACAUGUCUCUAUCAUUAGACUGCCUGGGGUUGGUCGGGAGUUGCUCCCAUUAGAAUGUCUGGGGUAGCCCAGGUGUCUUUAAUAAUUAGACUGCCUGGGGUUGACCAGGAGUCUCUCCCAUUAGAACACCCGUGGUCACCCAGCUGUCUCUAUCAUUAGACUGCCUGGGGCCAGCCAGGAGUACCUCUGUUAGAAUACUUGAGUUUACCUGAGAGUUUCUCCCAUACCUGGGGUGGCCCAGGUGUCUCUAUCAUUAGAAUGCCUAGGGUCAGCGGGGAGUCUCUGCCAUUAGAAUGCCUGGGGUUGGCUGGGAGCCUUCCCAUUUGAAUGCCUGGGGUCGUCAAAUUGUCUCUAUCAUUAGACUUCCUGAAUGUAGCAGGGCAUCUCUCACAUUAGAAUGCCUGGGGUCACCCAGGUAUCUGUAUCAUUAGACUGCCUGGGGUCAGCCAGGAGUCUUUCCUAUUAGAAUGCUUAGGGUCACCCAGGUGUCUCUAUCAUUAGACUGCCUGCUGUCACACGGGAGUCUUUCUCAUUAGAAUGCCUGGGGUCACCCAGGUGUCUCUAUGAUUAGACUGCCUGGGGUUGGCCAGGAGUCUCUCUGGUUAGAAUACCUGGGGCCACCCAGGUGCCUCUAUCAUUAGACUGCCUGGGGCCUGCCAGGGGUCUCUUCCAUUAGAAUUCCUGUGGUCGUUCAGGUGUUUCUAUCAUUAGACUCCCUGCGGUUGGCCAGGAGUUCCUCCCAGAAUGCCUGGGGUCUCCCAGGUGUCUCCAUAAAUAGACUGCCUGGGGUCAGCCAGAAGUCUCUCACAAGAGAAUGCCUGGGGUAGGCUGGGAGUCUCCACCAUUAGGAGGCCUGGAGUCACGUAGGUGUUUCUAACAUUAGAAUACCUGGGGUCAUCCAGGCUUCUCUCCCAUUAAAAUGUCCGGGCUCACCCUUUGUCUCUAUUAUUAGACGUCUGCCAUCGGCCCAGAGUGUCUUCUAUUAGAAUCCCUGUCGACCAGAUGGCUUUCACCUUGCCAUGUCUAAUGUUGAUCAGAUGGCUCUUGCCUUACCAUGUCUAAGGUUGCCCAGACAACUUGGGCCAGAAGCAGUACCAUUCAAAUCCAGCAGAAUGAUGCGACUGUGACUCACUGCAGACUCAAUCUUCCCAGUCUUACCCAAGUGAUCUUCCCAUCUUGGCCUCUCAUAUAUCUGAGAUUGCUCGGACCUUCUUUUUUUUUCUCUCUCUCUCUCACUCUAAUUUCAGUUUGUUUCCACAAUACUCAGAGUAACUUGCUGUUCUUUUUCUUCUUUGUUCCAUCCUUUAUUCUCCUAUGCUCCUUCCUGCAAACUGAG